AGCGAACGCUGGCGGCAGGCCUAACACAUGCAAGUCGAACGAACCUUUCGGGCUUGGUGCCGGACUGGUGGGUAACACGUUGGAACGUGCCUUUAGGUCUGGCAUAUCUUAGGGAAACACGUGCGAAUACCGGAUGUGCUCUUCGGGGGGAAGAUUGGUCGCCUUUAGAGGGGCCUGCGUCUGAUUAGCUAGUUGUUUGAGGUAAUGGCUACUCAUAGCUAGUUUAAGUACAUGGUAUGAGAGGAUGAUCAGAGACCUUGUGACUGAGACACGGCCCGAAAUACUACGGGAGGCAGCAGUGGGGGAUCUUGCGCAAUGGGGGAAAGGAUGAAGCAGCCAUGACGGGUGAAUGAUGAAGGUCUUAGGAUUGUAAAAUUAUUUAACCGGGGACGAUAAUGACGGUACCAGGAGAAGAAGCCCCGGCUAACUUCGUG
rnacentral:rRNA from 1 species